UGUGAUUGUAAAAGCAACUUUGCACAUCCCACCUCUUAUCUGCACAUGAACAUGUACUUUUAAUAGCGAGCUCGCUGAGCCGCCGUAGGCGGCUCGACAGCUCGCAUUACGUUAACACGUGUAUUGGACUGUAGAUCUACACAGGUUGUUGUUUUGAAAAGUUUGGUAUCUUCGCGCGCAACCGAACCUGAUAUCCGAAACCGGAACUGGAAAUUUUGGAAGGACUUCCCCGUUCGAUGACGUCAUCACAAAAUGUAUCCAAGUAACGAAUGACGUCACCGUUUUGUGUGUACAUAGCAAGUGUCAACACCGACCGCUACUCGCACUUUUUAUUAAAAAUGAUGACAAAACAAGUAAGUGCUAUUAUUUAUUGGACGAUUGCCAUUGAGGAACAAACACGCGAUUGGUUCGGCAUGUACUCAGAUAUCCAAGGUGCCUGAACCACGUGACUUUUUCGGCUAUGUGUGGGACAAUCGGAUGUAAACAAAACGUCGCUUCAGAAUGCCUUUGUUUGCGAACAGUGUGGCAGAGAGGUCAAAACACGGUCGGGGAUCUCCUAACACAAAGCCACCCACGCACGGACAGGAAAAAAGUUCCGUUGGGCAAACUUUUUCUUGUUUGUUUCUAUAAAAUAUAUUGUUACAAAAUGUUGAAUUUUCAGUGAAUUGUUACUGCCGACUAAUGCACUUGUUUAAUACACAAAAUCGUAAGGAUUGUUUGUGCAAGAUGUCAUGUGAAUAUUAUUGCAACAAAACUACAAAAAGUGUUAGUUGUGUGUUUUUUAGCAGGAAUGUGUAGGCAUUUUUGACUGUAACGAAUUUAAUAAAUAAGCAUAAAGAGAUCAUAAGCAUUUUUAAACAAAUAGACACUAGGAUCAAUGACAUUUUUUUCUGGAAAAUCAUGUAUUUGUAUGUAAAUCCUAUUGAGCUAUCUAAUAUAUCACACAUGCUAUUUUUUAAGUUUAACAGUUUAUAUCAGUUGUAUUUUGUUCUUUUCAGGGAGAUUAAAGUAUUUUUGGAAGCACCUUCAAGAGACGUACUGAUAUCUUGAUCAAUGAAAAGUUGUCAUAUACAAACAUGUAUAGUAAAUGUUCCAAAGUUUAAAUGACUGUUUGAUUUAUUACCAGAUGGUGCAAGUAUUGCAGGGAAAGAAAACAAUCAAAGUAAACAUUACAUAAAAAUUUGACAUUUCAACAAAUUGAACAACAUUAUAUGAUUUAAUGUUAAUUACUUGGUGCAGUGGUAACAAGAUCUUGCAGCGCCCUUUCAUGACCGGGGCGAAUGGGUAUUUUCAUUAAACAUCUCAAACUAUUGUCAGUUAUUCAGCUUUCAUUUGAAUUUGAGUAAAUUAAGUAUUGAUGCAAUUCAAUAUGUUUGUUGGCAUAAUGACCCCCACAAGUCAAGACGUUUUGGCGAUGAUCAUUUGUUAUGACUUAAUUGAAGCAUUCAUAUGUUUGAAUAGCAAGAUUUGCAAAUUCAUAAAUUGACUGAUUACAAUUUCUUUGUGAAUACUAAUGUACUUCUUUAUGUAUUUGGCGCUUUAAUUUCUAUUGUUACAUGUGCAUGCUAGUUAUAAAGUAAUGGUAUUAUUAA